CCGGACCGGAAAAAAAUGAACACCGGACUUCCGGUAAGCGCCGCGGGCGGGAAAAUCGCCGAAUUGGAUGCACCUGUGCCUAGUUAUGAAGAGCGGUUGGUGAUUGGAGGACACGCUAAACAGGGCAGUACUUAAGACAAAGUUUAAUCACAGUUUGGUGUUGUUGUUUGGUGUGUUGAAACGCUGUGUUGUGCCCGUUUGGCGUGCUGCUGGUGGUUGUCUGGACUCUCUCUCCCACAGGCUGAAGUUGUAUGGUGGCAAAGAUAUUCGGGGACCUGAAAGGGAAACGGAAAGGAAUACAUUGUAAACGGAGACGAAGUGAAACGGAACUGAGACGGGCCUUGAUGUGAGUACUCAGAUUAUAUUGGAAACGCAUUGCUAUUAAUCUGCCUUUGUGAUAGAUACCUCCAGGAGAAGGAGGGCGGCCCUACCCCUAAACUAGCGCGGUGGGUGAGCCGAAGGAAUUCAUACUGAAGCAGUCACAACGACGAUACUACCAACUAGGCCAUAUAUUGCAUCGCCCGAUCCAACCUAAGCGAAGUGGAGGAAGACGGGUGUCCUUUGUGUUCACUAGAGUGUGGUGGGUGAGUCCUUGUGCUGUGGAAACCUUUAUUUUGACGUGGUGCUGUAUAUAUUGCUGUGGAUUGCUGUGCAUUAUUGUGUGUCUUGUCAGAUAAACCCCCGCCUUCAUACACGUCGUCGAGAGAGGACGAAGAGGCUGUCGGCCCUUAUCUACUUCAGUAUAGCAUAUGUUGUGAGUGUGCUCCAGGUCUAAGGAAAUAGUACGGUGAUUCGGAACGAUUUUUCCCCCGUCUAGACAUUGGGUGAAAUUGGAGAGUGGCGGCGAAGAACAGAAGGAUUAGCAGAUGUGUGAGUACGAUCAGAGGCUGUCAUUGUGGAUGUGUUAAACUGUAUAGAAAUUGCUGUUGCAGAGUGAGAGGUGUAGGAACUUCCCCGUCCCGAGGUCUCUACAAAGGGGCGCCCCUGUCCAGUGUUCGAUCACCUAACGGUAGCGAGGAGAGGGAAGCGCUCGGCCCGGUGAGACGGUGUGACGUCCACCCCUCUGUAACCAUCGAGCCAGUCGAGAGGGUUCGCCCCCGACGCCACGUAGGAACUGCUUGUCCCAGCCGACACAUCGCAAACAUUUGACGUAAGCCUGCCACAUUGCUAGAAGUCAUAUCUACUAACCUUUUUGAGCCCGUUCAUCGACAGAUACGGAGAACACAUUGUCUCCGGUUGUCACGGAGUGAGAAACGAGUGAAACUUGUACUUACGGUACGCUGUGUCCCGCAGAAGAGGUGAGAGCCAUACGAAUCGAAUUAACUGCACCUUUGUGUCCUAGUCACCACCUGUGGAGAAGGAAAGAGAGAGAGUGAACAACACGAGAAGAAACGAGUGAAACUUGUACUUACGGUACGCUGUGUCCCGCAGAAGAGGUGAGAGCCAUACGAAUCGAAUUAACUGCACCCUUGUGUCCUAGUCACCACCUGUGGAGAAGGAAGGAGAGAGAGUGAACAACACAAGAAGAAACGAGUGAAGCUUGUACUUACGGUACGCUGUGUCCCGCAGAAGAGGUGAGAGCCAUACGAAUCAAAUUAACUGCACCUUUGUGUCCUAGUCACCACCUGUGGAGAAGGAAAGAGAGAGAGUGAACAACACGAGAAGAAACGAGUGAAACUUGUACUUAUGUCACCACCUGUGGAGAAGGAAAGAGAGAGAGUGAACAACACGAGAAGAAACGAGUGAAACUUGUACUUACGGUACGCUGUGUCCCGCAGAAGAGGUGAGAGCCAUACGAAUCGAAUUAACUGCACCUUUGUGUCCUAGUCAUCACCUGUGGAGAAAUAGAAAGGAAAAGUGAGCGGCACGUCCAGAACUGUGCGAGAACAAGGGAGAAGGCUCCACGAAGUAAGCUAGGUGCUCAAACAGGACGUUACUUUUAACACUCACACUGCUUUGAUUUCUGCCUCCAGGAAGAAGGAGGGCGCCACGGAUAGUAGAGACCAGGCAGGAGCCUGAGUCUCACAUCCCAGCCCACAGGGCUUUGGACCCCCUCCCCGUUGCCCCCCUUCCUCCUUGUCACCCUCUUGGCCGUGGCCUACCUGGAGGGCAGAGCCAGAUACUAGUUUUAAUUUCCCUUCCCCAUUUCCCCACUACAUUUUAAAUAUUUAAACAAAUAAAUAAAGAUUGUUUUUAUACUUAC